AGCCUAACAGUAAUGACCACAACCAUUAUUAUGACCAGCACAAUACGCGUUGGGGCAGGCUGCUGAGCGAAAAAUUUUCAAAAAAAAGGCCUGUAUCCACAAGAUACAGGCCUUUUUUUA
rfam:Vibrio sp. N418 VIBRN418_25, whole genome shotgun sequence.